rnacentral:rRNA from 1 species
UGAGCUUGAUUCCUGGCUCAGGACGAACGCUGGCGGCGUGCCUAAUACAUGCAAGUCGAGCGGAAUGAUGAAGAAGCUUGCUUCUUCUGAUUUUAGCGGCGGACGGGUGAGUAACACGUGGGCAACCUACCUUGUAGAUUGGGAUAACUCCGGGAAACCGGGGCUAAUACCGAAUAAUCCAUUUUGCUUCAUGGCAAGAUGUUGAAAGGCGGCUUCGGCUGUCACUACGAGAUGGGCCCGCGGCGUAUUAGCUAGUUGGUAGGGUAAUGGCCUACCAAGGCGACGAUACGUAGCCGACCUGAGAGGGUGAUCGGCCACACUGGGACUGAGACACGGCCCAGACUCCUACGGGAGGCAGCAGUAGGGAAUCUUCCACAAUGGACGAAAGUCUGAUGGAGCAACGCCGCGUGAGUGAAGAAGGUUUUCGGAUCGUAAAACUCUGUUGUAAGGGAAGAACACGUACGAGAGUAACUGCUCGUACCUUGACGGUACCUUAUUAGAAAGCCACG